GUGUUGACACGACUGUUAGGAUGGUCUAUUCAACAGCAACGUGGUGGUACAUCCUAGCGGCGGCGGGAAGCAAUGGGCUGAGCCUGCUGCCUUGGUGGGGGUUAAACACUCACUCUCGCCGCUUGUCCCCAUGCACUCACACGGAGCCCGCGCGACAAUCUGCAAGACCGCCGGGCCGCUGCAAGACGACUUUGAAGAGGGCCUCGACCGAGUCUCCGAACGUGACUUUCAAUUGUUGGGAAAAGCGAAAAUGAAAGAGCCGACCUAAUUUUUAGGGGGAGAAGCGAAAAAGUGGAGCAAGACAGGAAGAAGGACGGUGAGCUGUCUUCGAACCCAUUCAAAUCGAACUUUUUUAUUCUUUUUCCUGAGACGAAAGCGUUUUGAUCACUCUCAUCGUGGGACGUUUAUGUUGGAAACUUUGAAGAACUCUGGUAAAAAUGUGUCAAUAACUUUACUCGCCUUAGCAUGUGUUCCAUUAUUAACUCGCUUGAAAUGCAAAUGUCCAGUUGCGCUCAAAAAAAAAAAUUAAGAGAAAAAAGUCGAGAUGGUCGCCCCAUAAAGUGUGAACCAAAGAUGUCAAAGUAGUGAAGAUGAGGAAAACAUCUUGAGGAAACACUUGCGAGCCAGUGCGCUACGAGGAAGAAGAGCCCACACUGAACCGAGACCCCCACCACCGCCCACCAUCCCAAAGUGCUGGGCAUAACAAGAGAGUCGUGUGUUGUGUUGUGUUGUUGAGGGGGAGGUAAAGAGGAAAGAGACGGAUAAAGUCCGAGAGUGAGGCGGCUAAUUGCUCAGUCGGUCCCUCAUUAGCAUAUCCAAUGCGCGUCCGCUGGACUCCAGCCAAUCCUCCCCACCGUCACACGGUGCCACUCAUCUCCAAGCAUUAUUCACUAUCAUAAUUAUUAUACUGACAUGCGCAAUCCCACGCAGAGCCGGGACAGCGAGAGCGGCUAAUUCUACAGUUUGCCCCUUCACUUUGCCCGCACACUCUUUUUGGAGAAGAACUUUGGCGAGUCGACCGGUGCGCACUGCGCUGAUGUGUCUGCGCCGCACGCGCACGCACAGCCACGGAGCCCCAGAGCAGAAGCAACGGCGGAACCGACGCCGGUACGGACACCAGUGCCAGCACCACAACCACAACCAGGACGAACAUGUCCCGGCGCAAGCAAGCCAAGCCGCAGCACCUCAAGUCAGAGGAGGAUGCGCCAAUGACCGGGAUCAUUUCUCAACACGCUCGAGGUGAUGCGCUGGAUGAUGCUGACAGCGGAAAUGAGAGCCGCAGUGGCAGUGAAGAGACUCAUGUGUGUGAAAAGUGUUGUGCUGAGUUCUUCAAGUGGGCAGAUUUCUGUGAACAUUUAACAAGCUGCACCAAGAACCCACUAGUGCUUAUUGUAAAUGAUAAUGAGGAAACACCUAUUCCCUCACAGGACUACCCAGAACCAUCCCCUGUGCCCAGUUGCUCGAGUGAGCAAGCUGACAGUUAUGAUGCGAGGGACGGAAUCCACACGCCUGCUAGUGAGGGCGAUGAUGUUCCAGAGAUAACAGGCUCAAAUGGGGUCAGGAUCCUUGAAAAGGAGGAUGAAGAGAUGGAGGUGGACCUCUCCUCUGAAAAAAACAUGGAUCUUGAGGAAAGAGAUAUGGCAUCACCAGAAGCAGAUGGCUCUCUACCUCAGCCUGAUGAUGUUAGCCCUCCAAGUGUUACGAGCUAUACUUUGCCAAGCACUAAUGUUACCUUGGAAACUCUGCAUGGCACCCGGGUGGCAGUUGCCCAAUUCUCUCAGAGCAUAAGGGCAGCAGCAGGUAGUGGAGUUUCGACCAUGGCAAUUCCAGUAAUCUUGGACCAGCUGAUGGCCCUUCAGCAGCAGCAAAUACACCAGCUGCAGUUGAUAGAACAAAUACGCAGUCAAGUGGCUCUCAUGAACAAACAGUCUGCAUCACAGCCUGCACUUAACCACCACAACACAGUGACUGGAAAUUCUGGGCCAGUUUCCACUUGUGCUCCCUCAGUUGCAAGUCAACUUCAGCUCCACAACUUUAUCACUCCUCCUGUCCAUCAGCUGCCUGUUAGGUUGCCAGCCUCUCUCAACAGCCAAGGUUCUUCACCACUGACCUCUGCUAUAGAAGGGCCUCACUCCCAAACAUCAAGCAGAAGUCAGCAAUCUGGCUCGGCAGUGUCCAAUACGUCCUCCAGUAGUCCAAUGUUCCCGCCACCCAGUGCCUCUGGCUUGUCAGCUCUACUUCCCUCCUGCUCAUCAUCAGUCACUAACAUAAGUAUGAGCAAUAGCGUGACAGGAAACUGUGGAAUCAGUAGCAGUACUGCUCAUCCACGGAACUCGAGCUCUCCGCCAUCACUCAGUCACAACAACCUCCUAAGCUCAGCUUCAAAUCUGCCGCUGAUACCUCACAGCUCAUCGAACAGCGUUAUCUUCCCAAACCCACUAGCCAGCAUAGCAGCAACAGCCAAUGCACUCGACCCCCUAUCUGCUCUGAUGAAACAUCGCAAAGGGAAACCCCCAAAUGUGUCUGUUUUUGACACAAAGCCAAGUUCCGAAGACCCGUUUUUCAAGCACAAGUGUCGUUUCUGUGCCAAGGUAUUUGGCAGUGACAGUGCACUACAAAUCCACCUGCGUUCCCACACUGGAGAGAGGCCCUACAAAUGCAACAUAUGUGGUAACCGAUUCUCUACCAAGGGAAAUCUGAAAGUCCAUUUCCAGAGGCAUAAGGAAAAGUACCCCCAUAUUCAAAUGAACCCCUACCCAGUUCCUGAGUACCUAGACAAUGUCCCUACGAGCUCAGGCAUUCCAUAUGGUAUGUCUUUGCCACCAGAAAAACCCGUUACCACAUGGCUUGACAGUAAACCUGUCCUCCCUACUGUUCCCACAUCAGUUGGGCUACAACUACCUCCCAGCUUACCAAGUAUCAUGGGCGGGUUUGGUGAUUCUGCAAGCCUCACUCCACUAAAUAGGUCCCCUCAAAGACCAUCACCCCCUUCAAGUGAAUGUGAAUCUUUGUCUCCUAAUAUUGUUAAUGACUCUGGAAUUACCACUACUUCAACUUCUCCAAAACCCACACAAGGGAGUGAGGUACCACCUCUCCUUAAGCCUGAAGGCAUUCUCCUGCCCCCAACCUGCCUUACUCGGCCAGGAGAAAACACCACCACUACCACAACAACAGUAUCACAAGUAGUUCUCUCUACUGCCGUCACCUCCACAACAGUGUCAAAUAGCUCCCAGGUUAUGGAAUCCAACAAGAUUCCAAACUCUUCUUCAAACCCAGUGUCACAUCCUGUCCUCCCCAUGCUUUCAGAUCAAUUCAAAGCUAAAUUUCCCUUUGGAGGUCUCCUAGACUCUAUGCAAACCUCAGAGACAUCUAAGUUGCAACAGCUUGUUGAAAAUAUUGACAAGAAAAUGACCGAUCCCAACCAGUGUGUCAUUUGCCACCGUGUUCUGAGCUGUCAGAGUGCUCUCAAGAUGCACUACCGAAUCCACACUGGAGAACGGCCCUUUAAAUGCAAGAUAUGUGGACGUGCAUUCACCACCAAGGGAAAUCUGAAAACACAUUUUGGUGUUCAUCGGUCCAAACCCCCACUACGAGUCCAGCAUUCAUGUCCUAUAUGUCAAAAAAAGUUUACCAAUGCUGUUGUUCUGCAACAGCAUAUUCGCAUGCACAUGGGAGGCCAGAUCCCAAACACUCCAGUUACUGAGAACCUUCAGGAAAUGGACACAGACCUAUCUUUUGAUGAAAAGAGUAUUGAUGCAAUGAGCAAUUAUGAUGACGAUCUUCUGGAUGAAAUGGAGCAGGCUAUAGAUGAUGAAGUUGACUUAAAAGAUGGUGAAAUUGACCCAUUAAAACCUUAUUCACCGGGAAACUCUCCACCAACGUCUAUAAUGUCUAGCAUUGCUGCUAUGGAGAACCAGAUGAAGAUGAUUGACUCCACUGCAAAAAUAACCAGUUCAUUUGUCCAAAAGCCAAGUCAAAAUUUCUCCAGCUAUGGAAGCGAGAAUGACUGUUUUCCUACUGAUUCCUUGUCUGCAGCUGGGGAUGCAGACACUCAAAGCUUGGGGAGCCCUGCUCUGUCUGAGUCCUCUGAUUCUUUCCAACAUUUGUCCCCAGCUCAUAGCCACUGUGAAAACCAGCGAUCCAAGUCCCCAUCUAUUCUCAACAAUCACAACAGUGUCAUGGCAGUAGAUGAGAACCAAGAAAACAAUGAAGCUGGCUUGGCAACAGUGAAGUCAGAAAAAUCUGAAACCCCGUCUCCACUUCCUGCAACAGAAGGCAAUGGGGCCCUGGACCUGACCGCUAUUCAAUCAAGCAGACACUUUAUCAAGGAGGAGAGCCACUUCAGUAUGCUGUUUCUUAAUAGAGAUCGAGGUCUUAACACUCAAAACCUGGCUAGCACCGCAUCAAAUAUGAUCAAAAUGGAAAUGAAUGGACACAACAAGGCAAUGUCUUUGAGCGACAAUUCCCUCCUGCCUGUGGGCAUCCAGGUUCCUGCUGCAGCUCCCCAGACCACUCUAAGCCCUAGCACUAACCCUAUGUUAGCUCCUCCACCCCCAAGACGCACCCCAAAGCAGCACAACUGCCACUCAUGUGGAAAGAAUUUCUCUUCUGCCAGUGCGCUUCAAAUCCACGAGCGCACACACACUGGAGAAAAACCUUUUGCUUGCUCCAUAUGUGGACGGGCCUUCACCACUAAAGGCAAUCUAAAGGUCCACAUGGGCACACACAUGUGGAACAAUGCACCAGCACGCAGGGGGCGGCGACUGUCUGUGGAAAAUCCCAUGGCCCUACUGGGCGGGGAUGCAAUGAAGUUUAGUGAAAUGUUCCAAAAGGACCUGGCAGCUCGGGCCAUGAAUGUUGACCCCGGUUUUUGGAACCAGUAUGCAGCUGCUAUCACCAAUGGCUUAGCCAUCAAAAACAAUGAGAUCUCAGUGAUCCAAAAUGGAGGCAUCACCCCAUUACCUGUCAGCCUCGGUGGUGCAGGAAUAACGUCACUGCGAGCAAUGCCUGGUGCAAUGGACCGUCUGCACACAGGCAGCAACUCUCCUAUGCCUGGAAUUGAGAAAGCUACACUUGAAGUUGGGGCAAAUCGCCCAUUCUCGAGGUAUAUUGAAGAAAAUAAAGAGAUUGGGAUAAAUUAAGGAAAAGCAAUGGGCAAAGGCUAAAAGUCUAAAAUUGAAAUAAACUGCUGAUCCAGUCUAAAACUCAUGUUACUAUAUUAUGUACAGAUUAAAUAUUUUUUUGCUUUUUGAAAUAUUGUAAUUAGUGUUUGAUUAGAGGUUUUUGCCUUUCACUCAUUCCCUGUUCACUUGAUGAGAGAUGGUUUGUCUCUUGUUCGGGAAUACAUGACAUUGUCUUGCAAGAUUUGCAUGAUACUUACAGUUUUUAUCUGUAUGUUUGACUGCUUUUAAGAAUUCUUAUGAAAACCGGGAUCUUGCCUUAUAAACAAUUGGCAAACAUCUUGGACAUGACUUAAACAGAAAAGAAUUAAAGUUUGCUCAUAAGCAUUCAGUAAACCUUCUUUUUCAGUGCUCUUUUUGAUAAAAAGGGGCCUUGAAUUGACCGAGUUAUAGUCUUUUCGUGCUCGCCUGAUAUUUUCUCUCAUGAACAAAAAAAAAACAAAAACAAAAAACUUGAAAAAAAAAUGUUUUAACUGUUUUAAUCUUUACAGUUAGUCUCCAAGCAUUGUCCUAUAAUAUUGUCCUGUGUCUUUAAUAUUUAUGAUAUUGAAAAAAAAGCGGGUAUACAAAAAUAUAUUUAAUGGCCCAGGCAUUUUAUUGAUUAUAUUGUUUUUGUUUUCUAGUCUACAGGCUUCACUAAUAAUUUUUUCAUUCUGUAAAAACAGGAAAGGAUUUAAAUCUAAUAACAGAGAAUAUUCUGACUUUUUUUAUUUGGACAUCUGGUACGACUCUGUGUCUCAAUACAUGGACGUGAUGUUAUAUGAGGCUAGAGAAGUCCAAAGCUGCUAUGACAACCCUGCUUUUGACCUUUAUAAAAAAAUAAAAAUAAAAUAAAUAAAUAAGGAGAAAAAUACAUGUGAUCCUUUUGGAAAAAAAUAUCUAUGUAUAGAAAUACCAACAAAUCUAAAACUGGUAUGCAUAUUUUGUAUCACAUAAUGAUAGACAUCAUGAUUUGAAAGUAUUUGUCAUGUUUGUGAAUGCACUUUUUAAAAAUAAGACAUUUUAUCUGUGAUAAUGUUAACCUUUUGACUGAGCUAUCUAUGUGCCGUUUUUGUUGUUUUCGGCUUAUCACUCCUACAAGUUGCUGUUGGUUAUUGCAUCAGUGCUACUCUUUGGAGUGCAAACCCAUAAGUCAAUCAGAACCUUCAUGAAUAAAAUAAUGACCUCAAUGGUGUCUUUUGACUUGUUCUCUUCCCCUGCAUCAUAGUGCCUGUUCGUGAUGGAGUGGCAGCUACAUCAUGGGGACCCGACCAAAUGUGGAGGCGGGCCGUAUUCGGCCCGAGGGCCGUAGUGUCUUCCGCUUGUUCCGGGUGCUUUCACGCUCAAGUGGGGGCACCCUUGCACUUCCUCAUUCGAAGAAGAAUGCGCUCACGUGAAGAAGAGCGCGCUUACAUGCGAAGAAGUGCACAUCCAAGCGAGUGAGCGAGUUAGUGAGAGAGGGAAACACUUCUACAAGCCUACGUUCUUUGUUAAUGUUUGUAUAAUAUCUACAGAGGCAACGCCUAUAUGUAUCAUCUCUUGUGUUGUUGUUGUUGUAUGUUUCCACUCGCGAUCGGACACUUAAAUCCAGUUGUGUAGUGGUUAGAAUGAUGCGCUAAUGCUAGCGAACGCAUGCUAACCGUUUUUGUUAUUAAUGUAUUAACAGCUAAUCAUCGCUGAUUUACGUUGAUCAAAACCUGUUUGUUAUUGGGGACGAAUUU